GCUCUUGUAGUUUAGUGGUUAUAAUUUUGCACUUGUAAUGCAAGGGUCUUGAGUUCAAAUCUCAACGGGAGCA
rnacentral:tRNA from 2 species